UACGAAGGGGGCUAGCGUUGUUCGGAAUCACUGGGCGUAAAGCGCACGUAGGCGGAUCUUUAAGUCAGGGGUGAAAUCCCGAGGCUCAACCUCGGAACUGCCUUUGAUACUGGGGAUCUCGAGUCCGGGGAGAGGUGAGUGGAACUGCGAGUGUAGAGGUGAAAUUCGUAGAUAUUACGCAAGAACGACCAGUGGCGAAGGCGGAGCUCACUGGCCCGGAACGUGGAACG
rnacentral:rRNA from 1 species